GACGAACGCUGGCGGCGUGCUUAACACAUGCAAGUCGAACGGAAAGGCCCUGCUUUUGUGGGGUGCUCGAGUGGCGAACGGGUGAGUAACACGUGAGUAACCUGCCCUUGACUUUGGGAUAACUUCAGGAAACUGGGGCUAAUACCGGAUAGGAGCUCCUGCUGCAUGGGGGGGGUUGGAAAGUUUCGGCGGUUGGGGAUGGACUCGCGGCUUAUCAGCUUGUUGGUGGGGUAGUGGCUUACCAAGGCUUUGACGGGUAGCCGGCCUGAGAGGGUGACCGGCCACAAGGGGACUGAGGUACGGCCCAGACUCCUACGGGAGGCAGCGGUGGGGAAUAUUGCACAAUGGGCGGAAGCCUGAUGCAGCAACGCCGCGUGCGGGAUAACGGCCUUCGGGUUGUAAACCGCUUUCGCAUGUGACGAAGCGUGAGUGACGGUAAUGGGUAAAGAAGCACCGGCUAACUACGUG
rnacentral:rRNA from 1 species